GUUUUUUUGAUAAUAAUAUAAAGUUUAAUUUGCCCCCUGAAUUAUUUAAAGGGCUGCAGUAUAUUGACUGUACAAAGGUAGCAUAAUCAAUAGUCUUUUAAUUGAAGACUCGUAUGAAUGAUUUAAUGAAAUAUAAACUGUCUCUUUUUUAAAAUUAAAAUUUAAUUUUUUAGUUAAAAAGCUAAAAUAAUUAUAAAAGACGAGAAGACCCUAUAGAGUUUUAUAAUUAUUUAUUUUUAUUUUAUUUAUUAAUAUUAAAAAUUAAAUGUAAAUAAUUAUUUUGUUGGGGUGAUAAAAAAAUUUAAUUAACUUUUUUUAAUAUUUAACAUUAAUAUAUGAAUAUAUGAUCCAUAAUUUAUGAUUAAAAGAAUAAAUUACCUUAGGGAUAACAGCGUAAUUUUUUUUUUUAGUUCAUAUAAAAAAAAGAGUUUGCGACCUCGAUGUUGGAUUAAGAUAAAAUUUAAAUGCAAAAGUUUAAAAUUUUUGAUCUGUUCGAUCAUUAAAAUCUU
rnacentral:rRNA from 1 species